GAUGAAGAACGUAGCGAAAUGCGAUACUUGGUGUGAAUUGCAGAAUCCCGUGAACCAUCGAGUCUUUGAACGCAAGUUGCGCCCGAAGCCAUUAGGCCGAGGGCACGCCUGCCUGGGCGUCACACGUCGUUGCCCCCCCAUCUACUCCUUCGGGAUUGCGGGGGGCGGAUGAUGGCCUCCCGUGCGCCUCGUCGCGCGGUUGGCAUAAAUGCCAAGUCCUCGGCGACGCACGCCACGACAAUCGGUGGUUGCGAAACCUCGGUUGCCCGUCGUGUGCGGUCGUCGCGCAUCGAGGGCUCGAAAAAAUUGCCGGGCUCCGGCUCGGCUUUCAACGCGACCCCAGGUCAGGCGGGGUUACCCGCUGAAUUUAAGCAUAUCAAUAACGGAGGA
rnacentral:misc_RNA from 1 species